AGCGGCGGACGGGUGAGUAAUGCUUAGGAAUCUGCCAUUUAGUGGGGGACAACAUUCCGAAAGGGAUGCUAAUACCGCAUACGUCCUACGGGAGAAGGCAGGGGAUCUUCGGACCUUGCGCUAAAUGAUGAGCCUAAGUCGGAUUAGCUAGUUGGUGGGGUAAAGGCCUACCAAGGCGACGAUCUGUAGCGGGUCUGAGAGGAUGAUCCGCCACACUGGGACUGAGACACGGCCCAGACUCCUACGGGAGGCAGCAGUGGGGAAUAUUGGACAAUGGGCGGAAGCCUGAUCCAGCCAUGCCGCGUGUGUGAAGAAGGCCUUUUGGUUGUAAAGCACUUUAAGCGAGGAGGAGGCUACCUGGAUUAAUACUCUGGGAUAGUGGACGUUACUCGCAGAAUAAGCACCGGCUAACUCUGUGCCAGCAGCCGCGGUAAUACAGAGGGUGCGAGCGUUAAUCGGAUUUACUGGGCGUAAAGCGUGCGUAGGCGGCUUUUUAAGUCGGAUGUGAAAUCCCCGAGCUUAACUUGGGAAUUGCAUUCGAUACUGGGAAGCUAGAGUAUGGGAGAGGAUGGUAGAAUUCCAGGUGUAGCGGUGAAAUGCGUAGAGAUCUGGAGGAAUACCGAUGGCGAAGGCAGCCAUCUGGCCUAAUACUGACGCUGAGGUACGAAAGCAUGGGGAGCAAACAGGAUUAGAUACCCUGGUAGUCCAUGCCGUAAACGAUGUCUACUAGC
rnacentral:rRNA from 1 species